GGAUGAAAGUUUUUAAUAAUAUUAAGAACGAAUACAAUAAAGUGUAAAGUUCUAGAUAAAAUACAGAAAAAGACAAUUUUUUAUCUAUAUGUCUUGACCAAAUCACGUGCCAGCAGUCGCGGUAACACGUGGAAGACUAGUGUUAUUCAUCUUUAUUAGGUUUAAAGGGUACCUAGACGGGGGAUUUAGCCUAAACAAGGUACAAAUCCUCUAGAGUUUUAUAUGAGAAGAUAGAAUUUUUGGAGAAGAGAUACAAUUCAGCUAACCCAAAAAGACUGAUAUCGGUGAAGGCAAUCUUUUAUGUAAAAACUGACGUUGAGGGACGAAGGCUUGGGGAGCGAUAAGGAUUAGAGACCCUAGUAGUCCAAGCAGAAAAUUAUGAGUGUCAUAGACUAGAUCUUUUUUAGUCUAUAAAUGAAAGUGUAAGCAUUCCACCUUAAGAGUAAUGUGGCAACACAGAAACUGAAAUCAUUAGACCGUCUCUGAAACCAGUAGUGAAGUAUGUUAUUUAAUUCGAUAACCCUCGAAAAACCUUACCACAAUUUGUAUAUUAUUAAUUUAAUACAGGUGCUGCACGGCUGUCUUCAGUUAAUGUCGUGAGACUAUGGUUAGUUCCAUUAAUUAACGUAAACCCUUAUUUUAUUUUUAUAUAAAAUAGCUUUGCCGCUAUAUUGGCAUGUUAGCAGGGAUCAAGACAAGUCAUCAUGGCCUUAA
rnacentral:rRNA from 1 species